UACGAAGGGGGCUAGCGUUGCUCGGAAUCACUGGGCGUAAAGCGCACGUAGGCGGACUCUUAAGUCGGUGGUGAAAUCCUGGAGCUCAACUCCAGAACUGCCUUCGAUACUGGGAGUCUCGAGUCCGGGAGAGGUGAGUGGAACUGCGAGUGUAGAGGUGAAAUUCGUAGAUAUUCGCAAGAACACCAGUGGCGAAGGCGGCUCACUGGCCCGGUACUGACGCUGAGGUGCGAAAGCGUGGGGAGUAAACAGG
rnacentral:rRNA from 1 species